UGAACGCUGGCGGCGUGUCUAAGGCAUGCAAGUCGAAUGUUUGUAGCAAUACAGGCAUGGCAAACGGGAGAGUAACACAUUGGUAACCUACCUCCGAAUUGAGGAUAGCCCGCCGAAAGGUGGAUUAAUACUCAAUAGCAAUGCGGGGACACAAGUCAUUCGCAUUUAAAGAUUUAUCGUUCGGAGAGGGGCCUAUGUCUGAUUAGCUAGUUGGUGAGGUAAUGGCCCACCAAGGCUUCGAUCAGUAGCAGGCGUGAGAGCGUGACCUGCCUCACUGGGACUGAGACACUGCCCAGACACCUACGGGUGGCUGCAGUCAAGAAUCUUCCACAAUGGCCGAAAGGCUGAUGGAGCGACGCCGCGUGCAGGAUGAAGAUCUUCGGAUUGUAAACUGCUUUUAUUAGGGACGAAUUAGUGACGGUACCUAAUGAAUAAGAGGUUGCAAACUCUGU
rnacentral:rRNA from 1 species